AACGCACAUUGCGCCCCUUGGUAUUCCACAGGGCAUGCCUGUUUGAGCGUCAUUUCUCCCUCAAACCUCUGGUUUGGCGUUGAGUGAUACUCGGUUUACUUGAAAAACAUGAAAAGCAUAACUAUUAGGUUUUACCAACUCGUUAUACUAAUCUACAAGUUUGACCUCAAAUCAGGUAGGACUACCCGCUGAACUUAA
rnacentral:misc_RNA from 1 species